UACGGAGGGGGCUAGCGUUGUUCGGAAUUACUGGGCGUAAAGCGCGCGCAGGCGGUCCUUUAAGUCAGGGGUGAAAGCCCAGAGCUCAACUCUGGAACUGCCUUUGAAACUAGAGGACUUGGGUACGGGAGAGGUGAGUGGAAUUCCGAGUGUAGAGGUGAAAUUCGUAGAUAUUCGGAAGAACACCAGUGGCGAAGGCGGCUCACUGGCCCGUUACCGACGCUCAGGCGCGACAGCGUGGGGAGCAAACAGG
rnacentral:rRNA from 1 species